CAACAGGGGGUCCCUUUGACAGUCUGUUUUCCUGAGAGAUGCUCUUAGCCCAAACCCUUUCACUCAGUGAGUGAGUCACUGCAGGGGUGUGGAGCACAGGUUCCAGGGGCAGGGAACCUCCUACAGCCUGAGCUGUGCCCUCACCCUGAGCCUACUAGGCUCCCGCAACCCCGUCCCUACAGGCCUUGGUGACAGAGGCCCGAGAGCAGAGUUUCCACGCUGAUGGAGAGGGGACUCCCACCGCCCAACUCUGACCUGAGUACAGAAACUCUCGCUCCCCCAGUGAGGGGAGGGCUGCAGCAGGUCCCACAGACCACGUGGCAUUCGACGGCUUUUCCUCUUCUUUGUAGCAUUCUCUCUCCAGGGGACCAAGGACAAUGGCAAAACCGUCUACCACGGGUCAAGUUCAUCCAGUGUUUCCAUCAAGUCCUGCCCAGGGAGCCUGUGCCCCAAGUGACAUCACAUUGGCAGCUGAAGAUGGGAGUGUUUACACCACAGAAAUUGCCCAGAGCUCCUCAUCAAGAUUGCUUCCCCUGGGGAAACUGGUGUUUUGUAUUGCUCCUUAUGCCUCAGAAAUCUUGACUUGGUUAAUGCAAGAAGAAAUAGACACAUUAUAUACAUAUGUCAUAUUAUCAUAUGUAUAUGGUAAGAUAAAAAUAAAGUAAAGGGAAAAUUCACGUUAUGCGAUUAUUUACCUAGGAAAUUUGGAGGAACAAGCAGGAACUAUUACAAUUAAUCAGGAAUUCUGUAAAU